AAAACGCCCUUAACUCCCCUCUAGGGACAAGGAGCUGGUAUCAGGCACGAAAAUCUGCCCAAGACACCUAGCUACGCCACACCCACAAGGGAACUCAGCAGUGAUUAACAUUGAAAAUAAGCGACAGCUUGACUCAGUUAAAGUAAAUAGAGCCGGCAAAUCUGGUGCCAGCCGCCGCGGUUACACCACGUGGCUCAAAUUGAUCUCUAUCGGCGUAAAGCGUGAUUAAAGUUACUUUCAAACUGGGGUUAAACCUAAACUAAGCUGUGACACGCUUGUUCAUAAGAAAACCAAAAACGAAAGUUACCCCAAUCCUUCAACUUGAACUCACGACAGCUAGGAAACAAACUGGGAUUAGAUACCCCACUAUGCCUAGCCGUAAACUUUUAUUUACACCCCCUCCAUCGCCAGGGAACUACGAGCAAAGCUUAAAACCCAAAGGACUUGACGGUACCCCACAUCCACCUAGAGGAGCCUGUCCUAUAAUCGAUAAUCCCCGUUUAACCUCACCAUUUUUAGUUUAUCAGCCUGUAUACCUCCGUCGUCAGCUUACCACGUGAGCGACCAUAAGUGAGCUUAAUGCCCGUUCGACAACACGUCAGGUCAAGGUGCAGCAAAUAAAAUGGGAAGAGAUGGGCUACACUCUCUAACCUAGAAAACACGAAAGACUAUUUAUGAAACCCUAGUCAGAAGGCGGAUUUAGUAGUAAAAAGAGACCAGAAAGCUCUUUUUAACCCGGCACUGGGGUGUGUACACACCGCCCGUCACCCUCUUCAAAGCCCACAAACAGUUCUUAACUCAUCAUUGCUAUUCAGAAG
rnacentral:rRNA from 2 species